CCCACACUAGUGAAUAUUGUCCGCUUUGGAACGAUACAGAGAAGAUUAGCAUGGCCCCUGCGCAAGGAUGACACGCACAAAUCAAGAAAUGGUCUAAAUUUUU